rnacentral:tRNA from 1 species
UGGUGGUUCAGUAGUAGAAUUCUCGCCUCCCAUGCAGGAAACCCAGGUUUGAUUCCUGGCCA